AGUAGUUGUUGGAAAUCGGCCGUUGGGAUGCUAAGCUUGGAUACCUGAGUAAUAACGGACAACAGAUAAAGCUCCGCAUCCUUGCGCCGCGUGCUUCGAUCAGCUGGAUACUCUUGUUACCAGAAUUCCAAAGGUUCUGAUAGAAUCAAAGAUGGAUACAAAGUGAACUCACACAUAGCUAAGCUGCAAGAGUUAUGGAAAACUCCCCAAAAUCAAACAAUCCACCUCCCUAAAUCAAUGAUGGAGGCGUCCUUUUUCAAGCAUCCAGACCUCACCACAGGCCAGAAGCGUUACCUGUGCAGCAUUGCUAAAAUCUAUAAUGCAAACUAUCUGAAGAUGUUAAUGAAGAGGCAGUACAUGCACGUACUUCAGCACAGCUCACAAAAGCCAGGCAGGUGCACCUCCAGUUGUCUUUUCACUAGUUUUUACAAUUAGUGAGAGGGUCUUUUAACAGGUGAUUUGUAUCACAGGUGUCCUCACUCAUCACAGAAGCCGCCUUAGCUCCCGUUACUCACAGAAACAGCAUUACCCUUGCACUACAUGGCGACAUCAACUGGAGAGAGAGGACUCGGGGUCUUCUGAUAUCGCAGCUGCAUCUGCACCUGAAAUGCUCAUACAGCAUUCCCUUUGGCGGCCAGUGAGAAACAAAGAAGGGUCUGUUUCUUAGUGUAAAAGGGGGGAAAUGCAUCUCAGUUUAAUUUUUUUUUUUCUCAGACAGGGUCUUGUUCUCUCACCCAGGCUGGAGUGUAGUGGUGUGAUAUAGUUUACUGUAUUCUCAAACUCCUGGGCUCAAGCAAUGCUCCUGCCUCAGACUCCCAAGUAGCUAGGGCUAAAGGCACAAACCACCAUGCCCUGCUAGUUAAAAAAAAUUGUUGGUACAGAAAGCAUCUCACUAUGUUGGCCAAGGUACUCUCACCUCCGCCUCCCAAAGCACUGGGAUUACAGGCGUGAGCUACUGUGCCCAGCCUUCCCCAUCUCUUUUGAAGGGUAGCUAAGUGAUAUUAAUGCUUGUGUUCCCUAAUAUAUUCACUUUGCUAAAUUCAGAAUAGGCUGGACUUUUAAAAAGCAGAGAUACUUUUUUUUUUUGAGACCGAGUUUCGCUCUUGUUGCCCAGGCUAAAGUGCACUGGCGCGAUCUCGGCUCACCGCAACCUCCACUUCCCGGGUUCAAGCGAUUCUCCUGCCUCAGCCUUCCUGAGUAGCUGAGAUUACGGGCAUGCGCCACCAUGCCCGG
rnacentral:sRNA from 1 species